CAGGGAGGCCUGUGGGGAGGGGGUCCUAUGUUGCUUUUUGUCUGUGGAUCACUCCUAUGGGCAGGAGCCUUGCAGCCACUUUGUGCUGGAAGGACAGAGGUGCUCUCUUUCUCUCACGAUGACCUGAGUGAGCUAUUCUUAGAUUCUCCCUUACUUCUCCCACCUCUACUCCCUCUUCCUUACCCUUCCAUCUUGUAAAAACAUCACCACUGCUUAGGUAUUUCAUAGGGAAAUUUCAAACUGUGCUGAAUAAGUUUCCCAGAAAACAAAUGAAAACUAUACUUUCCUUUCCUUCCCCAGGCAGUGAUUAGCCAUGUAGUCUGGAAAACGGUUUUGAAAGUAGAAAUAUUUAGAGAGCUAACGUCCUUGCUCUCUUCCCAACCGCACUCAGAUAACAGGCGAAUGGCAGCUAGUCCUCUCAAGCUCAGUGCUCUGGCUGCUGCUUCCUCCCUGUGCCCCCAUCUGGCCCCCCUCUUCACGACACUUCUUCUCAGCUACAAGAACAGGUUAUCAAGCCCUAAAGCCAGCCUGAUCCGGCCUUGGCUCGCCCCUCUCCGCCAGAGACCAGCUGGUGAGGAUGAUUGAGGUGGCCCCAGCCUCCCAGCUGCUGCUGACUUGCACUUGGAAAUUCAAUCCUCUCAAGAUCCCAAAUGACUCGGGGACUGUCUGGGCCACUGCUGGACUGCGAGUGGCCUGGCCUUGGUGCUCCGUCUUCCCUCGGGUGGGGCUGCCCCAGUUGCUUGGAGCCACACUCUGGUGCUAAGUUUGGAGACCAAACUAACAGCAAAAAAGAUGUGGUGUUACCCUCCGAUGCCUAUCACCUCCUGCAG
ensembl:lncRNA